rnacentral:rRNA from 1 species
UGUUUAAGGCGAGAAGUGCCUAUAAUAUAAAAAGUGUUACAACUUUAAUAAAUAUAUUUGUAUUUUGUAAAUUAAUUUUUCUCUUAGGUAAAACAAAAAUUAUAUAAUGAUAGAAUAAGUAUAAUAAAUUAUUUAUAGGAACUCGAUAUUUUUACAACUGUUUAUCAAAAACAUUUUCUUUAGAAUAUAUUUAAAGAUAAUACCUGCUCAAUGUAAAUUAUAAAUAGCUGCGGUAUACUAACUGCACUAAGGUAGCAUAAUUAAUUGUCUUUUAAAUGGUGACUUGUUUGAAUGGUUUUAUGAGAAAAAGAUUUUCUUUAAAUUAUACAGAAUUUAUAUUUUUGGUCAAAAUACCUAAUUUAUAAAGAAAGACGAGAAGACCCUGUUGAGUUUAACAAUAUUAUUAAUAGUUUGUUAAAAUGGGAAAUUUAAUCUCUUUUUGAGAUUUUUAAGAUCCUGAAAGGUUUUGGAAAAAGGAUAAAAUUACCACAGGGAUAACAGGACUAUAUUUACUGAGAGUUCUAAUUGAAGUAAAUGUUUGUUACCUCGAUGUUGAAUCGAAAUAUCUUAUUGGUGCAGUAGUCAAAUAAGUAGGUCUGUUCGACCUUUAAAAUUUCACGUGAUUUGAGUUAAGACCGGCGUGAGCCAGGUUGGUUUCUAUCUUCUUAAGACUGUUUUUUGUACGAAAGGAAUUGAAUAG